rnacentral:rRNA from 1 species
UACGUAGGCAGCGAGCGUUGUUCGGAGUUACUGGGCGUAAAGGGUGUGUAGGCGGUUGUUUAAGUUUGGUGUGAAAUCUCCCGGCUCAACUGGGAGGGUGCGCCGAAUACUGAAUGACUUCGAGUGCGGGAAAGGAGAGUGGAAUUCCUGGUGUAGCGGUGAAAUGCGUAGAUAUCAGGAGGAACACCGGUGGUGUAGACGGCUCUCUGGACCGUAACUGACGCUGAGACACGAAAGCGUGGGUAGCAAACAGG